GUCGCUACUACCGAUUGAAUGGCUUAGUGAGCUGCAGGGAUUGACGCAUUGUGUUGGGUUUCCUGCACCUUGUAUCGAGAACUGCAUCAAACUUGAUCAUUUAGAGGAAGUAA
rnacentral:rRNA from 1 species